CGCUGCUAUAAUGCAGUCGAGCGAACAGAUAAGGAGCUUGCUCCUUUGACGUUAGCGGCGGACGGGUGAGUAACACGUGGGUAACCUACCUAUAAGACUGGGAUAACUUCGGGAAACCGGAGCUAAUACCGGAUAAUAUUUCGAACCGCAUGGUUCGAUAGUGAAAGAUGGUUUUGCUAUCACUUAUAGAUGGACCCGCGCCGUAUUAGCUAGUUGGUAAGGUAACGGCUUACCAAGGCGACGAUACGUAGCCGACCUGAGAGGGUGAUCGGCCACACUGGAACUGAGACACGGUCCAGACUCCUACGGGAGGCAGCAGUAGGGAAUCUUCCGCAAUGGGCGAAAGCCUGACGGAGCAACGCCGCGUGAGUGAUGAAGGUCUUCGGAUCGUAAAACUCUGUUAUUAGGGAAGAACAUACGUGUAAGUAACUGUGCACGUCUUGACGGUACCUAAUCAGAAAGCCACGGCUAACUACGUGCCAGCAGCCGCGGUAAUACGUAGGUGGCAAGCGUUAUCCGGAAUUAUUGGGCGUAAAGCGCGCGUAGGCGGUUUUUUAAGUCUGAUGUGAAAGCCCACGGCUCAACCGUGGAGGGUCAUUGGAAACUGGAAAACUUGAGUGCAGAAGAGGAAAGUGGAAUUCCCAUGUGUAGCGGUGAAAUGCGCAGAGAUAUGGAGGAACACCAGUGGCGAAGGCGACUUUCUGGUCUGUAACUGACGCUGAUGUGCGAAAGCGUGGGGAUCAAACAGGAUUAGAUACCCUGGUAGUCCACGCCGUAAACGAUGAGUGCUAAGUGUUAGGGGGUUUCCGCCCCUUAGUGCUGCAGCUAACGCAUUAAGCACUCCGCCUGGGGAGUACGACCGCAAGGUUGAAACUCAAAGGAAUUGACGGGGACCCGCACAAGCGGUGGAGCAUGUGGUUUAAUUCGAAGCAACGCGAAGAACCUUACCAAAUCUUGACAUCCUUUGACAACUCUAGAGAUAGAGCUUUCCCCUUCGGGGGACAAAGUGACAGGUGGUGCAUGGUUGUCGUCAGCUCGUGUCGUGAGAUGUUGGGUUAAGUCCCGCAACGAGCGCAACCCUUAAGCUUAGUUGCCAUCAUUAAGUUGGGCACUCUAAGUUGACUGCCGGUGACAAACCGGAGGAAGGUGGGGAUGACGUCAAAUCAUCAUGCCCCUUAUGAUUUGGGCUACACACGUGCUACAAUGGACAAUACAAAGGGCAGCGAAACCGCGAGGUCAAGCAAAUCCCAUAAAGUUGUUCUCAGUUCGGAUUGUAGUCUGCAACUCGACUACAUGAAGCUGGAAUCGCUAGUAAUCGUAGAUCAGCAUGCUACGGUGAAUACGUUCCCGGGUCUUGUACACACCGCCCGUCACACCACGAGAGUUUGUAACACCCGAAGCCGGUGGAGUAACCAUUGGAGCUAGCCGUCGAAGUGA
rnacentral:rRNA from 1 species